rnacentral:rRNA from 1 species
UACGUAGGGUGCGAGCGUUGUCCGGAAUUAUUGGGCGUAAAGGGCUCGUAGGCGGUCUGUUACGUCGGGAGUGAAAACUCAGGGCUCAACCCUGAGCCUGCUUCCGAUACGGGCAGACUAGAGGUAUGCAGGGGAGAAUGGAAUUCCUGGUGUAGCGGUGAAAUGCGCAGAUAUCAGGAGGAACACCGGUGGCGAAGGCGGUUCUCUGGGCAUUACCUGACGCUGAGGAGCGAAAGUGUGGGGAGCGAACCGG